rnacentral:rRNA from 1 species
GACGAACGCUGGCGGCGUGCUUAACACAUGCAAGUCGAGCGGAGCGGCGAACGGGUGGGUAACGCGUGAGUAACUGCACCCCUCUCUGGGAUAACAGUUGGAAACAGCUACUAAUACCGGAUAGGUGGGGAUGGAUCGCGUCCUAUAAGCUUGUUGGUGGGGUAGUGGACGACCAAGGCUACGACGGGUAGCCGGCCUGAGAGGGGGACCGGCCAAAUUGCGCGGAGAUAUGCACCAAAUUGCAACGGGAGGCAGCAGGGGUGAACAUGGCACAAUGGGGAAAACUCUGUUGCAGAAACGCGCGGGAGGGAUGAAGGUCUUCGGGGUGGAAACCGCUUUCAGCCAUGACGCGGUAGUGGCAGAAGAAGCACCGGCUAACUACGUGCCAGCAGCCGCGGUAAUUC